rnacentral:ncRNA from 1 species
AAAAACGCGUGGAUGGGAACGAGUAAACCUGCGGAACUGCCAGAGAGCCUGCGGUUGGUGCGAAGCGGGUCAGCGAAACAGGUUGAAAAUCAUCCCGGAGCGUCGAACUGAAAUUAGCCGGUUAGUCUGAUAGUCGCAUGGUCUGAUAGUCACGUAGUCGGACGGUCGCAUGGUCAGAUGGUCGGCUGAGAGUAAGGGAGACGGGGUUGUUCCCGUUAUCAAAACAAGAGUAUCGCCGCAAGGCCGUACUCGUGAGUGCCUGCGAGCCUUAAAUGGCGAGCCUUAAACGGCCAGUGCAGGAACUUGGGUGGUACCGCGGGCUGACGCUCGUCCCAUUU